CAGGCUUAACACAUGCAAGUCGAGGGGCAUCAGGAAGAAAGCUUGCUUUCUUUGCUGGCGACCGGCGCACGGGUGAGUAACACGUAUCCAACCUGCCCUUUACUCAGGGAUAGCCUUUCGAAAGAAAGAUUAAUACCCGAUAGCAUAAUGAUUCCGCAUGGUUUCAUUAUUAAAGGAUUCCGGUAAAGGAUGGGGAUGCGUUCCAUUAGGUUGUUGGUGAGGUAACGGCUCACCAAGCCUUCGAUGGAUAGGGGUUCUGAGAGGAAGGUCCCCCACAUUGGAACUGAGACACGGUCCAAACUCCUACGGGAGGCAGCAGUGAGGAAUAUUGGUCAAUGGGCGCUAGCCUGAACCAGCCAAGUAGCGUGAAGGAUGAAGGCUCUAUGGGUCGUAAACUUCUUUUAUAUAAGAAUAAAGUGCAGUAUGUAUACUGUUUUGUAUGUAUUAUAUGAAUAAGGAUCGGCUAACUCCGUGCCAGCAGCCGCGGUAAUACGGAGGAUCCGAGCGUUAUCCGGAUUUAUUGGGUUUAAAGGGAGCGUAGGUGGACUGGUAAGUCAGUUGUGAAAGUUUGCGGCUCAACCGUAAAAUUGCAGUUGAUACUGUCAGUCUUGAGUACAGUAGAGGUGGGCGGAAUUCGUGGUGUAGCGGUGAAAUGCUUAGAUAUCACGAAGAACUCCGAUUGCGAAGGCAGCUCACUGGACUGCAACUGACACUGAUGCUCGAAAGUGUGGGUAUCAAACAGGAUUAGAUACCCUGGUAGUCCACACAGUAAACGAUGAAUACUCGCUGUUUGCGAUAUACAGUAAGCGGCCAAGCGAAAGCAUUAAGUAUUCCACCUGGGGAGUACGCCGGCAACGGUGAAACUCAAAGGAAUUGACGGGGGCCCGCACAAGCGGAGGAACAUGUGGUUUAAUUCGAUGAUACGCGAGGAACCUUACCCGGGCUUAAAUUGCAGUGGAAUGAUGUGGAAACAUGUCAGUGAGCAAUCACCGCUGUGAAGGUGCUGCAUGGUUGUCGUCAGCUCGUGCCGUGAGGUGUCGGCUUAAGUGCCAUAACGAGCGCAACCCUUAUCUUCAGUUACUAACAGGUCAUGCUGAGGACUCUGGAGAGACUGCCGUCGUAAGAUGUGAGGAAGGUGGGGAUGACGUCAAAUCAGCACGGCCCUUACGUCCGGGGCUACACACGUGUUACAAUGGGGGGUACAGAAGGCAGCUAGCGGGUGACCGUAUGCUAAUCCCAAAAUCCUCUCUCAGUUCGGAUCGAAGUCUGCAACCCGACUUCGUGAAGCUGGAUUCGCUAGUAAUCGCGCAUCAGCCACGGCGCGGUGAAUACGUUCCCGGGCCUUGUACACACCGCCCGUCAAGCCAUGGGAGCCGGGGGUACCUGAAGUACGUAACCGCAAGGAUCGUCCUAGGGUAAAACUGGUGACUGGGGC
rnacentral:rRNA from 1 species